UUGAGGGAGUGGCUGGUUUUGGGGAGGGAUAAGGUUGGUGUGUGUGUUGAUUUGUGAGUUUUGUCAAAAUUAAUCAAGUGGUGUAAGAUAAGAAAUUCUUAUCACCAUUAUUUCUAUCACCUUUCAUAAAAGAUAAUAUAUGUUUUGAUGAUAGAUUUUUCUAUUGCCAUUUAACCAAAUAUUUAACACUUUAAAUACAUGAUAAAUCAUUUGAAAAACAUAUCACAUAAACUUUAUGAAAUAAAUCAAAACUUUGAAUCAAAACACCAAACCUUUUUGUUCUUGGCAAGAACAUCAAGAACAAUGAAGAACAUCCAUGAAAAACCCAAAUUUUUCCAUGAACCUUUUUCACCCAAAAACAUUCCAAAACCAUUCUUACUUAAGGGAAAUAACAUCUAACCAAACUAGGGUACU
rnacentral:lncRNA from 1 species